UGUAACAGACCUGACCAGAAUGCAAUGCAUUGUGCUAUUAAGACCACUAUUCCAAUUAGCGGCAGAUACAGAACCUCAGCUCUCAAUGUGAAAAUCCACCAGAAAGAUGAAUAUUAACUAUGGGAGCAACGGCAGAAGGGAAAAACUCCUGUGCUAGUCUUUGGAUCGAUUUUCAGGAUAUGGAUACUAACUGCUCCAUUUUCUUAUUUGGACUUCUGGGUCUAUCUACUCUUUGUCUUCCGUGAUCUUCCUGGAUGCAUGUUGUGGUCUCCUGCUAAAUCAAAGCUGCAAAUUCUCCUGGCAUAAUUGAAAACACGUCUUGGUAACACCUUUAGGAUAUAUCUGAGGCAGAGAUAUCUAUCUUCAGUGAAGCAUUCCUAAGCAGAAGAAAGCAAGUGCCUGGGAAUAUUGUAUCAGGGAAUAUUCACAGUAAAGAAGUCAGAUAACUCAGAAGAUGAAAACUGUCAUGUAUCUCCUCUCCAAUAUGGUAACAGCUAAAAGUCAACUCUGGAUCAUCUGUAUAGUGGGUCAGUAAAGAGCAUAUAAAAUCAUAAAUUCAGACUGGUUUUUAUUUUGGUAUGGUCCCUGUACUUCCAUAUGAAUAAGAGAAUGAUUCACCCCCUUCGGAACUCACAGUACAUCAAACCAAAUUAGGAAGCCAGGCAGCUGUGACCUGGUUUUGUAAGGGCCAAGAAAACUACAGAGUUUCACUACUGAACCUUACAACUCAAAAUGAUUCCCUGGUUUACAUGUUCCAUUUGGGACACGGGUGUACCUUACUGACUCAUAUAAAAUGCCUCUCUGGGCUUGUAUUUUCUCUUACCUUACCCAGAGUUGUAUGUGAGUAAAUAAAGGCUUGAGUGAUCUCGAGGUGGCAGUUUAAAGGACGGUAAAAGAAAACAGGAGUUAGAAUAAACAAUGUCAGUAAAAACUUGGAUGCAAGACUGACCUUAUGCAAUCCCUAAGGUAAAUGCCCAAGAUUUAUUUUAUGUAACUACAGUAAAAAUAACCCUCAUGAAUUCAGUUCUAAUACUAACGCUCAUUUCAGGUACAUUGAAUUAUAGGAGACAGAGCACGCUAAACUGCUUGUUCUCAGUCUGCUCCAAUAAGUUUUAUUUUUUAUUGUUUUGGGGAUGCCUUUGGGAAGGAUAGGAGGAGUGGUGAUUCUUGAAAUUAGAGGUUGGGAUGAAAGUAGAAGGGACUUUUUUUUUAGUAGAAAGGGAUAUUGAGAACAGGUUAGAAAGAGGCUCUGGUUCUAUUAAUUUAGGAUCUGAUAAUAUUCCUCCAAAUCUGAAACACUCACAACUGACUCAAUAGCUAUGAUUUUUGGAAACUGGUUUAAUUUUCUGUGAAGCCAUUAGGAUAAAAAUUAUGAGAUAUAUUCUAUUUAUUUAUUUUCAUUGGCAAAUCAGCCUUGUUUCUUGAAGAAAAUGGAAACCUGUUUUUAUUAAAGAUUACUGAAGUAGUUUUCCUUGAAAAAAUAAAACCCUUCUGAAUAUCCAGAUGAUGGAUGUAUUAUGCUAUGAAAAUUUUAAUAUAGGGGAACAUCUCAUAAUGGAAACAGCUUAAUAAGCAGGGAAUUUCCAUGCACAAUUUCUGUAGAAACUCUAAUAUUGUUUUUAUUGCUUGUUUGGUGACAAUGUACUCUUGGCUUUUGUUCAGGAUAAAGCGUACAAAA